UGUAUAAGAAAAUGGAAAUAAUGAAAGUGAUAAUCUAAAUUGCAAAAGAUAUUUUCAUAAUUCACAAUUGUUUAGUUUGUUUUCUUCAUUAUGAGGCGUACAAAUAUUUUUUGUGGAAAAUUGUAUUUAUUGAAUACAAAUAGGUAAGUACUUAUUAGUAGUUAUUACUGAGAGUGGUAUCAUUUAUGAAAUAAAUAAAAAAUGUUUAAUAUGAAAUUUCGCCAUAAUACAUUUUAGUGCUGCAGAAAUUCUUCGUAAUUAUUGUCACCCUACGUACUCGUAAACAGGUAUAAUUAAUGACUGUCAAUUUGCAGUCUAGACGCUGGAUGCAACUACUUCACGAGUGGUUUAUAUUUGUUUUACUUUAUACGUGUUUCGUCGGUGGCAAUACAUUUUUCAUUCAAAUUUAAAGUCGAUUUCAUAAAGUAUAUUUUAUAGUUGUGUUGUGUGGUAUAUAUUUGGUACCUAUGUAUAAUUCUGAAUGCUGGCGAUGGAGGCGGCCACGCCGGACACCAUAGCUACGGCUGCCAGCAGCACAAUGAUGGUGUUCUUCGUCACGACCCAGUAGCAGCAACCCAGGUCCUUGCCCCAGCGCCAGACGGUCUCUGAGAUGGCCGGGAGCAUCAGCCCCAAGAAGGACAGGCAUAUGGCACCCACCAGCUCCAUGAACAGCUCUAGGCGCGGAACUGCGCUGGCUAGUCCAACUGUUGACAAAUAAACGUGAAAAUUGACGGAUGA